UACGAAGGGUGCAAGCGUUGCUCGGAAUUAUUGGGCGUAAAGGGUAGGUAGGUGGUAAUAAAAGUCUGGGGUGAAAUCCCUGAGCUCAACUCAGGACGUGCCUUGGAAACUUUAUUACUAGAGUGCUGGAGAGGUCCGCAGAAUUCCCGGUGUAGCGGCGAAAUGCGUAGAGAUCGGGAGGAAUACCAGAGGCGAAGGCGGCGGACUGGACAGCAACUGACACUCAACUACGAAAGCGUGGGUAGCAAACAGG
rnacentral:rRNA from 1 species